CUUUCAAGGGCCUGUGCCUGUGGUAACUGUCUAUGAGCCAGGUAUAUCUGAAGCAUAUUUGACAACAGAAAAAGUUAAUGUAAUUUUCAAAGGAAAAACGCCAACUUUUUUCAAAAAGGCUGGAUCCAGCUCUUCAUGAAUGUCCUCAAUGAGAAGGGGUCGGCCCAAGGAAAGGCUGUCCUCCAAGUGUGUGCGAAAAUAUUUAUGGUUCAGAGAUGUCACCUAAACAGAAAGAACUCAUUGGUCUAUCUGUGUUACAAAGAAUGUGCCCAUUGCUAAGGGAAACCGAGAGAUUUGUUGGACAGGUAAUCAAGAAUUUUAAGGGCAAUAGAAGAAGACUUACUUAAAAAAAUUAAAGUAACAUACAAAAAUUAAUUUCUAAA
rnacentral:lncRNA from 1 species